UACAGGGGGUGCAAACGUUGCUCGGAAUUAUUGGGCGUAAAGCGCGCGUAGGCGGCUACUUAAGUCGGAUGUGAAAGCCCUUGGCUCAACUGAGGAAGUGCACCCGAAACUGAGUGGCUUGAGUACUAAAGAGGGUCGCGGAAUUCCCGGUGUAGAGGUGAAAUUCGUAGAUAUCGGGAGGAACACCGGUGGCGAAGGCGGCAUCCUGGACCGGCAUUGACGCUGAGGCGCGAAAGCUAGGGGAGCAAACGGG
rnacentral:rRNA from 1 species